UCGCCAGACUCCUACGGGAGGCAGCAGUGAGGAAUAUUGGUCAAUGGUCGGGAGACUGAACCAGCCAAGUCGCGUGAGGGAUGACGGCCCUACGGGUUGUAAACCUCUUUUGUCGGGGAGCAAAGAGGGUCACGUGUGGCUCAUUGAGAGUACCCGAAGAAAAAGCAUCGGCUAACUCCGUGCCAGCAGCCGCGGUAAUACGGAGGAUGCGAGCGUUAUCCGGAUUUAUUGGGUUUAAAGGGUGCGUAGGCGGAUUUUUAAGUCAGCGGUAAAAUGUCCGGGCUCAACCCGGGCCGGCCGUUGAAACUGGGGAUCUUGAGUGGGCGAGAAGUAUGCGGAAUGCGUGGUGUAGCGGUGAAAUGCAUAGAUAUCACGCAGAACUCCGAUUGCGAAGGCAGCAUACCGGCGCCCGACUGACGCUGAGGCACGAAAGCGUGGGGAUCGAACAGGAUUAGAUACCCUCGUACGA
rnacentral:rRNA from 1 species